rnacentral:sRNA from 1 species
UUGCGUUAGGGAUUGCAGUGGAAAUCCUUUUUAAAUGUUUUUAGAAAUGCAUCAUUGCGAGGAACGAAGCAAUCUAUUUAUCUAAAAGAGAUUGAUCCAUAAAGCAGCAAAAGCUUUAUUAACAAUGACAAAUUUAAAAAGAUUGUAGCGCAAAGCCCGACCUAUA